rnacentral:rRNA from 1 species
GGACUCGCGGCCUAUCAGCUUGUUGGUGAGGUAAUGGCUCACCAAGGCGACGACGGGUAGCCGGCCUGAGAGGGUGACCGGCCACACUGGGACUGAGACACGGCCCAGACUCCUACGGGAGGCAGCAGUGGGGAAUAUUGCACAAUGGGCGCAAGCCUGAUGCAGCGACGCCGCGUGAGGGAUGACGGCCUUCGGGUUGUAAACCUCUUUCAGUAGGGAAGAAGCGAAAGUGACGGUACCUGCAGAAGAAGCGCCGGCUAACUACGUGCCAGCAGCCGCGGUAAUACGUAGGGCGCAAGCGUUAUCCGGAAUUAUUGGGCGUAAAGAGCUCGUAGGCGGUUUGUCGCGUCUGCCGUGAAAGUCCGAGGCUCAACUCCGGAUCUGCGGUGGGUACGGGCAGACUAGAGUGAUGUAGGGGAGACUGGAAUUCCUGGUGUAGCGGUGAAAUGCGCAGAUAUCAGGAGGAACACCGAUGGCGAAGGCAGAUCUCUGGGCCUUAACUGACGCUGAGGAGCGAAAGCAUGGGGAGCGAACAGGAUUAGAUACCCUGGUAGUCCAUGCCGUAAACGUUGGGAACUAGGUGUGGGGGACAUUCCACGUUUUCCGCGCCGAGCUAACGCAUUAAGUGCCCCGCCUGGGGAGUACGGCCGCAAGGCUAAAACUCAAAGGAAUUGACGGGGGCCCGCACAAGCGGCGGAGCAUGCGGAUUAAUUCGAUGCAACGCGAAGAACCUUACCAAGGCUUGACAUGGGCCGGACCGGGCUGGAAACAGUCCUUCCCCUUUGGGGCCGGUUCACAGGUGGUGCAUGGUUGUCGUCAGCUCGUGUCGUGAGAUGUUGGGUUAAGUCCCGCAACGAGCGCAACCCUCGUUCCAUGUUGCCAGCGCGUAAUGGCGGGGACUCAUGGGAGACUGCCGGGGUCAACUCGGAGGAAGGUGGGGACGACGUCAAAUCAUCAUGCCCCUUAUGUCUUGGGCUUCACGCAUGCUACAAUGGCCGGUACAAAGGGUUGCGAUACUGUGAGGUGGAGCUAAUCCCAAAAAGCCGGUCUCAGUUCGGAUUGGGGUCUGCAACUCGACCCCAUGAAGUCGGAGUCGCUAGUAAUCGCAGAUCAGCAACGCUGCGGUGAAUACGUUCCCGGGCCUUGUACACACCGCCCGUCAAGUCACGAAAGUUGGUAACACCCGAAGCCGGUGGCCUAACCCCUUGUGGGAGGGAGCUGUCGAAGGUGGGACUGGCGAU